UUGUGGGCUGGUGAGAAAAUGAGAGGCCCAAAGCCCACUAGGGUUAGAACUUAAGAAGCAAGACUGGAGAGGCUCCCAGCUAGGCAGCCACCAUUCCGUCCCGACCGAGCCGCGCCUGUGUCGGCAGCCGCCGCUCCCUCCAUUGCCGCCGCCGCCAUGGCCCGUCGACACCGCGAGCGAGCUGAGCUGCCCCGACCGGCGACCUCCUUCCCUCCUUUCCCUCCGGCGAGCUGCCCCGACCCGCGACCUCCUCCUGUCGGCGCGCGAGCGCGAGCACGGGUGACGGGUCCGGCGAGCUCCAGAGAAGAUGGCUUCGUCGUCCUCUGAUAGUGAAGGGGAGCUGAGGCGCGCUAUGGUGGAGGUUAUAAUGCUCAAACCAGAUGCACCCAGUGCUGGUGGGAGUGGUGACGCUGCCGACCGUCCUUCAGUGGUUGCCUCCACUGGUGUUGUUGGUUCUUCUUCCUCAACUGCUCCAGAUUCUGCAGCAUAUGCUGAGAAGGCUAUAGCAAAACUGCCACCGCAUCUUGCUAGUACUUCAGUACUUAACUCCUAUACUAUACAAUAAUAUAAGUAUAUAUAUAUAUAUAUAUAUAUAUAUAUAUAUCCUAAAUGUCCUGGACGACUAGUGGACGACUAGGGUCGAUCAGACCCGACUAAUCAACCCUAGUCGACGACUAAUCACGAUUAGUCGUCUGGUCCACCCAUUGUUCGAUCAGACGAUUAGGCAAUUUAAAAACAUUGAUAUUGACAAUGCAAAGCAAUCAUACAAACCAGUACGUGCAAUGUAUAUGAUCAGAUUGCAUCCAAAGACUGCUUCAAGAGGUGAAUCCAAAACCACAAGAUUUCCCAAAAUAUACAUUCCAUCUCACACCAUUUACAGAGCUACCACAACUCGAAGGAAACAAUGAGUAUUUCAUUGGUACUGUUGUUUCUCUCUCUUUUCUAAUAGUCAAAAAAAUUAAACAUUCCAACAAAUUAAGAUUGAUGAAAUUAUAACCUACAGAUGUCAUUGGACGCAUUACGGCUCUUUCUGAUCCAACAAUGUUUUCAACCAACAGUGGAGCAAUACGCAUGAAAAGGCUGAUCCACCUUAUGGAUCUAAGGUAAAAUACUUAUUCCUUUUUUGAUAAUAAUCUAACGAAUUUAGAAUACAGCAAUACACCCCCACUAUAACAUAAUUACAAUUUAAUGAAGGGGAAAUAAAAUUGAGGUAUCCCUAUGGGGACCAAGAGCAGAGGAAUUCCCAGGAGAACAAAUCUUUAGAGCCAGUGAAAAGAAUCAUAUCAUUGCUAUCUUUGUUGGAACAUCAGUUAAAUCCUAUGGCGGAUCAACCCCUUUCCUCAGCGGCACAGCUGCAUGCCGCUGGUAUAUAAAUCUACCAGAGAUCAAUGAAAUCAACGCAUUCUAUGCAAGGUAAAUUGUAAUCCUUUGUAUAAUCUACCUUUCAUUUAAAAAAAUGCAAUACCUUUUAUUCUACAUGUAUACAGUCACCCUUGCACUUAACUAAGCUCUGACUUUUAUAUUUGCAGUAUUGGUGAACACUCCCAGCCAACCCAAAAGCUUCAUAUUCAGACGAUGAACGAGAUGCAGAGCAAGAUUGAACAGAAAUCACUUUUGGAAAUGAAAUCAAUCGAUCCGUUUGAGGACUUGGUAAGAUACUCUACAUCACUCUCAAACUAAAAAAAA